rnacentral:tRNA from 1 species
GCCUGGCUGGCUCAAUUGGUAGAGCAUGUGACUCUUGAUCUUGGGGUCAUGAGUUCAAGCCCCAUGAUGGGUG